AUUGAACGCUGGCGGCAUGCCUUACACAUGCAAGUCGAACGGUAACAGGUCUUCGGAUGCUGACGAGUGGCGAACGGGUGAGUAAUACAUCGGAACGUGCCUAGUAGUGGGGGAUAACUACUCGAAAGAGUGGCUAAUACCGCAUGAGAUCUACGGAUGAAAGCAGGGGAUCGCAAGACCUUGUGCUACUAGAGCGGCCGAUGGCAGAUUAGGUAGUUGGUGGGAUAACAGCUUACCAAGCCGACGAUCUGUAGCUGGUCUGAGAGGACGAGCAGCCACACUGGGACUGAGACACGGCCCAGACUCCUACGGGAGGCAGCAGUGGGGAAUUUUGGACAAUGGGCGAAAGCCUGAUCCAGCAAUGCCGCGUGCAGGAUGAAGGCCUUCGGGUUGUAAACUGCUUUUGUACGGAACGAAAAGCCCCGAGUUAAUACCCUGGGGUCAUGACGGUACCGUAAGAAUAAGCACCGGCUAACUACGUGCCAGCCGCCGCAGUAA
rnacentral:rRNA from 1 species